UCCCUGGUGGUCCAGUGGUUAGGACUUGGCACUCUCACUGCCAGGGCCCCGGGGUUCAAUCCCUGGUUGGGGAA